GUGGGGAAUUUUGGACAAUGGGCGCAAGCCUGAUCCAGCCAUUCCGCGUGCAGGAUGAAGGCCUUCGGGUUGUAAACUGCUUUUGUACGGAACGAAAAGGUUCUCUCUAAUACAGGGGGCUGAUGACGGUACCGUAAGAAUAAGCACCGGCUAACUACGUGCCAGCAGCCGCGGUAAUACGUAGGGUGCAAGCGUUAAUCGGAAUUACUGGGCGUAAAGCGUGCGCAGGCGGUGAUGUAAGACAGAUGUGAAAUGCCCGGGCUCAACCCGGGAAAUGCAUUUGUGACUGCAUUGCUGGAGUGCGGCAGAGGGGGAUGGAAUUCCGCGUGUAGCAGUGAAAUGCGUAGAUAUGCGGAGGAACACCGAUGGCGAAGGCAAUCCCCUGGGCCUGCACUGACGCUCAUGCACGAAAGCGUGGGGAGCAAACAGGAUUAGAAACCCCAGUAGUCC
rnacentral:rRNA from 1 species